rnacentral:rRNA from 1 species
UACGGGGGGGGCAAGCGUUGUUCGGAAUUACUGGGCGUGAAGGGCUCGUAGGCGGCCAACUAAGUCGGAUGUGAAAUCCCCAGGCUCAACUUGAGAACUGCAUCCGAUACUGGAUGGCUUGAAUUCGGGAGAGGGAUGCAGAAUUCCAGGUGUAGCGGUGAAAUGCGUAGAUAUCAGAAGGAACAUCAGUGGCGAAGGCGGCUUCCUGGACCAAUACUGACGAUCAGGUGCGAAAGCGUGGGGAGCAAACAGG